UACGGAGGGUGCGAGCGUUGUCCGGAAUCAUUGGGCGUAAAGAGCGUGUAGGCGGCCAUACAGGUCCGUUGUGAAAACUGGAGGCUUAACCUCCAGACGUCGAUGGAAACCGUGUGGCUAGAGUCCGGAAGAGGAGAGUGGAAUUCCUGGUGUAGCGGUGAAAUGCGCAGAUAUCAGGAAGAACACCCGUGGCGAAGGCGGCUCUCUGGGACGGUACUGACGCUGAGACGCGAAAGCGUGGGGAGCGAACAGG
rnacentral:rRNA from 1 species